GAUGAACGCUAGCGGCAGGCCUAAUACAUGCAAGUCGAACGGUGUCUUCGGACAUAGUGGCGCACGGGUGCGUAACACGUAUGCAACCUACCUUACAUUGGGGGAUAGCCUUUCGAAAGGGAGAUUAAUACCGCAUAAGACAGUAGCUGGGCAUCCAGCAGCUGUUAAAGAUUAAUAGUGGAAGGUGGGCAUUGGGACAAUUAGGUAGGUGGGGAGGGAACCGCCUAACAAAGGCAAUGAUUGGUAGGGGAACUGAGAGGUCAAUCCCCCACACUGGCACUGAGAUACGGGCCAGACUCCUACGGGAGGCAGCAGUAGGGAAUAUUGGGCAAUGGACGCAAGUCUGACCCAGCCAUGCCGCGUGCAGGAUGAAGGCGUUAUGCGUUGUAAACUGCUUUUAUACAGGAAGAAACGACUCUUGCGAGAGGCAUUGACGGUACUGUAUGAAUAAGCACCGGCUAACUCCGUGCCAGCCGCCGCAGUAAUAC
rnacentral:rRNA from 1 species